AUGAGCUCACCCACACCAACAAACACAUCUGGUUCCCACACAAGGGAAUCAAGUACAGGAAGAAGAAUCCACCCAGGGACAGAGACUUCAUGUGAAGCCUGAAGCCUGUACGCUACCCCCGGUUCCUGUCUCAGUAGUCACUCGCUAGCAUUCAAUACACAGAAAUGUACUCAG